UGAGUUUAAGUCUCAACUAACUAUGCGAUGUUUCAGGUUUGUAGCAUCUUCUAGAGUGUGUUCAGAGCCCUGAUCAGUUUUCCAGAUCUUAAAAAUGAAAGGGAAUGGCAGCACUGGAGAUGAAAAGCAUUUAUUUAGAUUACCUCAAAAAAAUUUACCUCUCAUUUAGCAAAACUGGUGCUGUUUCAAUUUGACUGUUCUUGGAUAAAAACAAUGGAAAACAUAAAAAAAAAAAAACCUCAUGGAAAAGAUCUUGGGAAUGCCAUUUGUUGGAAAUCGGAGUAAUUUGACCCAUUUACUGUUUUACAUUUUUGUAGGAAAACAAAAUAUAUGCGUAACUGUAUGGCAAAAGAUGGAGGGCAGUAAAUAGAAGAAUAACCACUCUCCCUUCUUUCCCCCAACACACCACAUAGUCUGGUUUUUCUCUGCAGUGGUGCUCCUCAGGCCUGGUUCCAAACUCUGGCUUCUUUUUAUUUCUCCUUGCCUGUCCCUGCCUUUAACUCUGUGUCUAGCCCUAACACUCCCUCCUGGCUUUGGAACUUCGCUAUUUGAAAGCCAUACACUUGGAGGAAAUGAAAUUGUCUGUAAUGAGUACCUUGCUUUGUUACUUCUUUUUCCCUUCCCUUUGUUCCCAUCUCCAAGUAUUUUCUAAUGAGGUAUUUCUUACCUUAACCCGAACUGAUUUUAAUAGUAGAAAUUCCAGACAGCGUGGCAGGUUGAUGGGGAGUAAAUGCCUGGGAAGAGUUUUGGGGAUUUUCUCAAAAACUGUAGGUAGGAAUUUGCGCUUUGUGUCUGUCAGGUUGCUUUUGGCUGUGGGGAAUGCAAAACAAAACAAAACAAGCUGUUUUUCUUUGUAUUGUCAGCUUAUAUACUGUUUGUGAAGAUAAAAUACACACAGGGAAAUUCUGGAAGGAUAUCUAAGAUCAUAUAAGCAAGAAGCUGGUAGCUAAGCAAAAUAUUAAGUAAACAAAGAUUCAAGCCACCAGUGUUUCUAGCUGAAUGAGAUGGUAAUAUUGCUUUAAAAGAACAUCAAGCUAUGCUACAUCAGUAAUUAUGAUCAUGUUUGGAUUUUGAAGCAAAGUAUUAAAUAAUGCCAUUUCUCUGUGGUGUGUCAAGAGGAGCUCAUUGUGAAUUUAUUUUACUUAGAUUGGUUACCAUCUAUUCUAUAGUAUAGUAUAUUCUAUCUAUCUGGUUUUCCAUUUGAGUGCAGUAAGACCUCAUUAAUUCAGUGUCGUUAACUGAAACUAUGAUUAAGCAUUGGUGUUUGGUGGCUGAAGUCUCCAUCAGCAAUGGAUGUGAAGAAAGGGCCUGCUAAUCUAAUUAAUAAUAUAAACAACACGGUUUGGGCAUGGUUAAUAUACUUAACAGAACAGAUUCUUUUCGGGAUGUAGUGAGUAGCAUGUAAAUUAAUGCUAUUAAUUACAAAUUAGAUCUGUUCGUUAGUGUUUUCUUUCAGGAUUUCUACUAUAAAGUAAAUGUAACAAAACAUUAUUUUCAAAACAUUUUGUAAACUAACACAAAAGCCUUAGGCAACAAUUGAGACUGUGAUUCGGGGAACUUCCAGUGAUUCUAAAAUGCCAUCGAAUAGGAAAUUAACAUUUAGAAAAGAAUAUGUUUUUGGAAACUGGGGGAAAGAACCUGUACUUUAAAUGAGCAAGCUAUUUUAAGACAUCCAGUUAAAAUGUGAAAAAAGUAACAGCUUAGAAUCUAGUUAGUUUUACAUUUGUUUAUGUUAGUUUAAAAACAUGCCUUUUUAUGUCUACUUCAUUUUUUAAAUCUGUUCAUUUCCAUAAAUAUGACCUGUUUUAUUUAUAAUUUUAAAAAUAUGAAAUAUGACUUUGAUAUAAUGUACAUUUAUAAUUUUUAUAAUUGGUCUCUCAUGCUUUUCCUUAUCUUUUCUGUGUCAGCCAUGUGUAAAGUUGGAACUAAUUACGAAACCAAAUAAAGAGUCCAUUUAGAGUGACCUCAUUGGAAAACAGCAUUUUUCUAGACAUACUCUCCUUUUAGCAAAUCCAGUUAAUUUACUGUUUUGAAAGUUUUGUGAAAAUAUUGGACACUCCUGAACUAUAGGGAAUGAUGAUGAUUCACGAUCUGGAACUUUGGUAAAUACUAAAAAAUCAUUUUGUCAUUUUUUUUUUAGCAACUUUGUGGUGUAGCAUUCUCUUGAUAUUCAAGAGCGAUACAGUGAGAUUUUGAAUUCCAACUUUCUACAAUUCCACUGUAAUAUAUUGUAAGUCACAGGUUUUUUCCUCAUUUGUAAAAUUGUACUCACCCCUCACUUCUGGGAACCAGAGGAUCCUCAAAUGGAAUUUGAGGUCACACUGGGUCCACUUGCCUGGGAAUGGCAAUUCAGUCACUGCUGACACAGAAUUACAAAUGACAAUGUGUUAAUGUAUUUUCAGGGUCACUCAAGAAUAGUCAGAACAAUUAAUAUUGAAGUCUGUGAAUGCCUUGGGUCUACAACAGUAGCUUAUGGUGGCAUUUAUUUUAUAGUUGAAGAAAUGGAGACAGAAUAGAUAGAAUGCUCGGUCACAGGUGGGACUAGAGUGCAGAUUUGGACUUGAAGAGAGAAUGAUCGGGAAAAUUCCAUGAAACAAAACAAAACAAAACAAAACAAAACAAACCGAGACCAGAAAAACCCCUCUUCCUUUGUUUACAUCUCAAUUUAUCAUUUUCUGUAAUGCUUUUUUAAUUCAGAAAUGCAGCCUUCUUCAACAUAACCUCCUGCCCUCCUCCUGCCCUCCGCUGGCCCCCAAAUGUCAUUGGAUUCUAUCCAAUGGGAAGAUAUAUGGGCUAUGAGAAGUUAAAAAAAAUGUGGCACCAGCUCUGCUGACUCCUUAUAUUCUUCUAAGUGGGCUUCAAGCCAUCGUUGACAUUUGUUUUUAAACAUCCUGUAAGCCAUGCCGUUUUAUCAAAUUAAAUUAAAAGCACAAUAUAUUCUCUUACAAUGACAGAACCUGAGUCAGGACUUCCAAGUUUGUGUUAUUAUUAUUAUUUUGCUUUUUACAAAGGAAUUAAAUUUUUUUAAAUUAAACCUGGCAUUGUUGGUCUGCUGUGCAUACUUAAUGCUAAUAAAGUACAUGCAUACCUUC